UGAAACUGCAUGGUGCAGAAAGUGUUUUUCAUUGCAGUUUCUGCUGCUGGGAAAGCGGUAGAUCACUAUGGCUGUUGUACCGUGAAAUGAAGCUUAUGAUAAAUAAAAUACUGCUGCUUGCUGGUCACUGAUUGAAGAUCGUUCAGUGGCUACCAUUGGCCAAUCUCACCAACGGGAUGUAAUAAGAACUGAUGCAGAUUUAUAUUUAUAUGUAUUGUCUAUUCGGAACAAAGUUAGUACGCUUUUCAAACCGAUGUUGGAUUUUUCUCCAGAUACAGGCAACCCACUUAACUUUGGAAGUAGUGCGCAGGAUUCGUCUAAAGAUAUGCUAAAC